rnacentral:rRNA from 1 species
AUACGAAGGGGGCUAGCGUUGUUCGGAAUUACUGGGCGUAAAGCGCAUGUAGGCGGACAUUUAAGUCAGGGGUGAAAUCCCGGGGCUCAACCUCGGAACUGCCUUUGAUACUGGGUGUCUAGAGUGUGGAAGAGGUAAGUGGAAUUCCGGGUGUAGGAGUGAAAUCCGUAGAUAUCCGGAGGAACACCAGUGGCGAAGGCGGCUUUCUGGACUGUAACUGACGCUGAUGCACGAAAGCGUGGGGAGC